GUAGAUAUAGUUUAACAAAAAUGCUAGAUUGUGAUUCUAGAGAUAGAGGUUAAAUUCCCCUUAUCCACC
rnacentral:tRNA from 1 species